rnacentral:rRNA from 1 species
GAUCUGAGUAUAUCAAUAUUACCUUGUUCAGAACUUAAAGAGAAAUCUUGAGUUUAUGGACUUCAGGGGGAGUAUGGUCACAAGGCUGAAACUUAAAGGAAUUGACGGAAGGGCACACCAGGAGUGGAGCCUGCGGCUUAAUUUGACUCAACACGGGAAAACUUACCAAGACCGAACAGUAGAAGGAAUGACAGAUUAAGAGUUCUUUCAUGAUUUAUUGGGUAGUGGUGCAUGGCCGUUCUUAGUUGGUGGAGUGAUUUGUCAGGUUAAUUCCGGUAACGAACGAGACUGAAACCUAUUAAUUAGUUUUCUGCCUAUAAGACAGAAAUGUUCGCAAGAACAGGUGCGUAAGUACCACUUCUUAAAGGGACACAUUUCAAUUGUCCUAUUU